GGGGAUGUAGCUAAGUGGUAGGGCAUUUGCCUGGGUUCAAUCCCCAGCAUUCCAA
rnacentral:tRNA from 1 species